UGACCACAGUGUCCACAGGAUGAGUCA
rnacentral:piRNA from 1 species